UACGUAGGGUGCGAGCGUUGUCCGGAAUUAUUGGGCGUAAAGAGCUCGUAGGCGGUCUGUCGCGUCGAAUGUGAAAACCCGGGGCUCAACUCCGGGCUUGCAUUCGAUACGGGCAGGCUAGAGUUCGGUAGGGGAGUCUGGGAUUCCUGGUGUAGCGGUGAAAUGCGCAGAUAUCAGGAGGAACACCGGUGGCGAAGGCGGCUUUCUGGACGACAACUGACGCUGAGACGCGAAAGCGUGGGGAGCAAACAGG
rnacentral:rRNA from 1 species